rnacentral:tRNA from 1 species
GGAGAGAUGGCUGAGUGGUCUAAAGCGCUCGCCUGCUAAGCGAGUGUCGUUUUACGGCGCGAGGGUUCGAAUCCCUCUCUCUCCACCA